rnacentral:rRNA from 1 species
CCUACGGGAGGCAGCAGUAGGGAAUAUUGCGCAAUGGGCGAAAGCCUGACGCAGCGACGCCGCGUGAGGGAUGAAGGUCUUCGGAUCGUAAACCUCUGUCAGCAGGGAAGAACGGUCACUGUGCUAAUCAGCAGUGAAUUGACGGUACCUGCACAGGAAGCAACGGCUAACUCCGUGCCAGCAGCCGCGGUAAUACCGAGGGUGCGAGCGUUAAUCGGAAUUAUUGGGCGUAAAGCGUUCGUAGGCGGUUUGUCAAGUCAGGGGUUAAAUCCCCGGGCUCAACGUGGGAACUGUCUUGGAAACUGGCAAACUAGAGUGUGUGAGAGGUGAGUGGAAUUCCAGGUGUAGGGGUGAAAUCCGUAGAUAUCUGGAGGAACAUCAGUGGCGAAGGCGACUAUCUGGCACAUAACUGACGCUGAGGAGCGAAAGCGUGGGUAGCAAACAGGAUUAGAUACCCUUGUAGUC